rnacentral:sRNA from 1 species
UCAAUUAAGUAAUAACAGCUUUUGGGA